AAACCUCUAGCAGAAAAUGGCUACUCAGCAAAAGUAAAAAAGACCCCAAAAUGAAAAAGGGAAAAACGAGAAUGCAAAAUUGACCAAAUGAGAAGCAUGAUCCCUAAGCCGAAAUAUUGAGUGGCUUGAGUCCUCAUUCGACACCAACUCCCUACAACUUCAAAAUCCACUAAUUCUCUCCUAAUACUCUCCUCAUAUCGCUCCUCAACUCCCUCCUACAAUCCCUCCAUGACUGAUUCAAACUCCCCUCCACUCAUUAGUGUUUCAGUCAAACACAACUACCUCCCAAGGCAAACAGUAAAAAUAAUCUCCAUUUGCGCAAGUAGGGAUUCG
rnacentral:lncRNA from 1 species